rnacentral:sRNA from 2 species
CGCCGGACGCCGCCGAACCGUGCACCGGUCGAUGACCGGUGCGCAGGCCGGGGACCCACCGCAGCACUGGGGUGAAGCGCGACCUCGUCGCGCCGGGCGACUCCCCCGUCCGAACCCGUCAGCUAACCCGGUAGGCGGUCGUGGAGAACAGGA